AUUGAACGCUGGCGGCAGGCCUAACACAUGCAAGUCGAACGGUAACAGGAAGAAGCUUGCUUCUUUGCUGACGAGUGGCGGACGGGUGAGUAAUGUCUGGGAAACUGCCUGAUGGAGGGGGAUAACUACUGGAAACGGUAGCUAAUACCGCAUAACGUCGCAAGACCAAAGAGGGGGACCUUCGGGCCUCUUGCCAUCGGAUGUGCCCAGAUGGGAUUAGCUAGUAGGUGGGGUAACGGCUCACCUAGGCGACGAUCCCUAGCUGGUCUGAGAGGAUGACCAGCCACACUGGAACUGAGACACGGUCCAGACUCCUACGGGAGGCAGCAGUGGGGAAUAUUGCACAAUGGGCGCAAGCCUGAUGCAGACAUGCCGCGUGUAUGAAGAAGGCCUUCGGGUUGUAAAGUACUUUCAGCGGGUAGGAAGGGAGUAAAGUUAAUACCUUUACUCAUUGACGUUACCCGCAGAAGAAGCACCGGCUAACUCCGUG
rnacentral:rRNA from 1 species